AUUGAACGCUGGCGGCAGGCCUAACACAUGCAAGUCGAGCGGAGCGGCGGACGGGGGAGUAAUGCCUUGGAAUCUGCCUGGUAGUGGGGGAUAACGUCCGGAAACGGGCGCUAAUACCGCUUACUCUCAGAUGAGCAUAGGUCGGAUUAGCUAGUUGGUGGGGUAAAGGCCUACCAGGGCGACGAUCCAUAACUGGUCUGAGAGGAUGAUCAGUCACACUGGAACUGAGACACGGUCCAGACUCCUACGGGAGGCAGCAGUGGGGAAUAUUGGACAAUGGGCGAAAGCCUGAUCCAGCCAUGCCGCGUAUGUGAAGAAGGUCUUCGGAUUGUAAAGCACUUUAAGUUGGGAGACGUUACCAACAGAGUAAGCACCGGCUAACUUCGUGCCAGCAGCCGCGGUAAUAC
rnacentral:rRNA from 1 species